rnacentral:rRNA from 1 species
AUACGGAGGGUACAAGCGUUACUCGGAAUCACUGGGCGUAAAGCGCGCGCAGGCGGCUAUUUAAGUUGGAUGUGAAAGCCUACGGCUCAACCGUAGAACUGCAUCCAAAACUAUUUAGCUAGAGUGUGGGAGAGGAAGAUGGAAUUAGUUGUGUAGGGGUAAAAUCCGUAGAGAUAACUAGGAAUACCAAAAGCGAAGGCAAUCUUCUGGAACACUACUGACGCUGGGGCGCGAAAGCGUGGGGAGCAAACAGGAUUAGAAACCCCAGUAGUCC